GGUACAUUUCUUGAAAAAAAUGUGUGCGCUUGCUAUCUUGGCUGUUUUCAAACUCAUGAAGACACACCCUUGUCCACUUACCCUCCGCCUUAAUGCUUUGGGGGAAUCCCAGCGGCAAUAUUUUGUCGUCGGUCCAAAUGAUUAGCUAAACAAUGGAAGUUUGCAACGUAAGACCCUCAGCCCUAGUUUUUAAUGGCGUUUGCGAGUGUACAAUUAUGUUCAUUUCGGGACCUGAAACGCAGCCAAAAACUUUAAAACCUCAAAGUCAACAUACAAGUGUAAGUAAAGACGAAUGUAAAUAAGUUACAAAUUGUGCAACUAAUGCACAAACACGUAUCGUAAAAGUCAUUUGUUUUUGUUUGGUCAGUUUUUGGAAAUUGUAGAAAUAAAACAUUUUCCUUCCAGCUAGGCAGGCUAACAUUAGUUAGCUAAUUAAUUUGCUAGCUAUCAUACAGCCGACGUAUAUUAAUAAUUAUAUAUUUAAUGUAAGUAGACAUGCAAUCAUAAUUGAGUGUAGCGCAUAUAAAGCACCCAACAAGCUACCGGUGGCUGAAAACACUAGUGAUCGGCUCGCAUAUCAGAAGAACGGAAUCUAUUUAAAAAAUUAAGAUAUGAAUAAUCAAAAUAUUUAAAUUAAUAGAAUUAACUAAUCCAAAGAACGAAAAAAAUAUGUAUAGGCCUAAAUGCUCAAGCGCAAACACCUUAGUUCUGACUGUCUGCUCAGACUAACAGUCUCACCUGCUGUUCCUGUCAAUCAGACACAACAGUGUCAACCAAUGAACCAAAGAUGCGUGAGGGAUGGCCGAGCCAACUCACUCACAGUCACACACUUAGCAGCCGAGGAAAGAUAGCUUUCCAGUGAGUCGGAAGCACAGUAGAACUUGGAUGCAUUUUAAUAAUGUAGACAAUGUUAGAGCACAGUGUAGAAUUUCCCAAAAUAAAAUCUCAUAUAAAGCCAUUUCUAUGCACAACCUACACCGGCAUAUGCGAACUGUGCACCCAACUGUGAAGCUAGCUGUAGCGGAGCUCAAGUAGGCCUACUCCGCGACGCACAGCAACGCAGUAUUCUAUGGACCAGUUUAUGCCACAGUCUAUGUCUAGCAAAACACAGCCAAAUGGAUAUUGCAUUGGCUAAAAUAAUUGCCACCGAUUUCCAGCCAUUUUCGAUCGUGAAGGACAGAGGAUUUAGAAAUUAUAGCAAUAGUCUAAAUCCAAUGUACACAAUUCCAAGCAGGAAAACCCUUUCAAAAUCACUUAUUCCACAUCUGUACGAGAGCACACAGGCUUCAGUGCGGGGAAAGAGUCCAAAAAGCUACUUCAGCUUGCCUUACCACUGACUGUUGAACAUCAAGGGUAACCACUUCUUACAGGUCGGUUACCUGUCACUUCAUUGAAGAUGGUUUGAUGUCUAGCUGUCUUCUGGGCUGCUUUGAGUUCAGCGACAGACACACCUCAGAGAACUUGGCAGAGGAACUGUUGAGAGUGGCCAGAGAAUGGCAAGUAGUAGAUGGAAAAGGGGUCUGUUGUGUUAGCGACAAUGCAGCUAACAUAACCAAAGUCAUGAACAUUUUAAAAUGGACCCAUCAUCCAUGUCUUGCCCACACAAUCAACCUGAUUGUCAGAGAUGCUCUGAAGGUGAUGAAGGCCACUGUGGACAAAGUGAAAGCAGCUGUGGAAUACUUCCACAGGAGCACAGUAGGUGCUGAACAACUAAAGUCUACACAACGCCAGAUGGGGAUGCCUGAGUUGAGGCCUAACAAGACUGCACUACAAGGUGGAAUUCAACAUGUUAUAUGUUGAAGCGGUUUCUUGAGUCAAAGGAUGCCAUUAUCUCUACCCUGGCCAUUGUCAAUGCACCUGUUGAUGCUCUGACCCAAGAGGAAUGGGAGGUGGUGGAGGAGAUGUGCAGAGUCCUGGAACCCUUUGAGCAGGUCAAGGUGGAGAUCAGCGGAGAGAGCUAUGUGACAGCCUCAAAAAUGAUACUCCAGUGUAUGGGUCUGCAGCGAAUCACAGCCAGCCACCAGAGAGAAGAAAAUGUAACCACAGGACAUGAACAAGAGUUGAUGGACACCCUAUGUUCAUCAAUGGACAGAAAGUUCCACAGAAUGGAAUACAAUCACGUGCUAUCAGAAACCGCUGCACUUGACCCCAGGUUUAAGAAGUUAGCCUUCAGUGAUGCCAGAGCGAUUGAUGAGGCUCUUCAAAGAAUAACCUCAGCAGCAGGAAGGGACAGCCCCAGUAGUCAGCUGGCUCAGGCACCAGGGCAACAGGAAGAAGAGGGAGGGACAUCCCCAGCAGUCAGCUGGCUCAGGCAACAGGAAGAAGAGGGAGGGACAGCCCCAGCAGUCAGCUGGCUCAGGCACCAGGGCAACAGGAAGAAGAGGGAGGGACAGCCCCAGUAGUCAGCUGGUUCAGGCACCAGGGCAACAGGAAGAAGAGGGAGCAGAUGGAGAAGAAGCACCAGCAGUAGUGCCACAAACGUCUUCUGUUUGGAUGCUGUUUGACAAGAGAGCAACUGGGGAUGCAGCAGGAAGGAAUCACUCAGCAGACGCCAUAAUGGCGGUCCGAUCCUAUUUGGAGAGACCCUCCUCCAAAGAUCUGCAGCUCCUCUGAGCUGGUGGAAGAACAAGACCCCUGUCUACCCACGGCUUACUAAAGUCAUGACAGGGAGACUCUGCAUAGGGGCCACAUCCGUUCCCUCUGAGAGGGACAAAUAAUUACUGAGCGAAGAAAUCUCAUCAGCGGUUGUGAGGCAGCUUGUAUUUCAGAAUGCAAAUAUCUCAUAAAAGAAAAAUCUGGUCAGCAUUGCAGUGUGCUGCUGGUUAUAACAUGGCCAUAAAGAAGAGAGAGAAAAGAGGGACCAGUUUAAUGUUUUAACUGGGAUGCUGCGGUUUUGCACAAUGUUAAUUAUUUUUCUUUGAUAUGGUGAAAUAUUCUAUUAUUUUGUUGUUCGGAUUGUUUACAUUUAUAUGGACUUUGUUUAUAUACAUUACAAAGUUAUACUUUAAAUGCAAAUGUUUUAUAGCAUUCUUUUUCAUAACAAACCAAUGCAUUUUUAAAUACAUUGUGGUUCAGGUAGAGUAUGAUUUAAUUUAAUAAUUUAAUUAGAAUUGUUUUAACACCAAUCAUAGUCAAACUAUUGCAAAUUGUUUGACUUGAAAAAAUAUGAAACAUAUAUUUUUUUUAAAGACCCGUUUGGGAGCCAAGAGAGCCGGCUCUUUUUGGUGAGCUGAGCCGAACGAGCCAGCUCACUGAAAAGAGCCGGAAUGCCCAUCACUAGAAAACACAAUCGUUGUGGGAUGAACGAGUGACAAAUUUCCGGGCAAGGGUGGUCCAUUUAAAAAUCCAUUCUUCCUCCCUUACCCUGCAAGUGUAUACUCGUCAGACGUAACGAUACGUCAUCAGAAGUGUCCUCUUAAUUUGAGGGCUGAGGGGAGAGGGUGUGUCUGUUAAGUGUUUGGAAUGCAGCCCUUGUCUUGAAGGUUAGGAAAGCCUUACAAAGGCCCAGUGCAGUCAAAAUACUAUAUCAUAUUGUACAACCGCUGAUGAAACUAACACUGUAAAGGUGUGAAAACAUUUGAUCAGUGUUUAUUUCCUGAUAGUUGCUGGUUGAAAAUACAAUCUACACAGGACCUUAUAAUCAGCAGGUUUGCAUGGGCAGGGGUUUUGGCUUUCCAUGGUGAUAUCACCAUGCAGUAAAUUGGUUAAUGGACCAAUAACAAAGAGAGUUCCAAACUAGUUUUAGUUUUCCCCUCCCCACUCAGACCAUUCCCAGACAGUCCUAGCAAAAUUCUUGCUUGAGAAAUAGUAUUUUUCUAAAAGCAAUUUUAGCACAUUUCCAUUGAAAUCUAUUACAGUAAGGUAGUUUUGUUACCCAGAAAUGAUUUGAUAUUGAUAUAAAAACAUCUGCAUUGGGCCUUUAACACAUGAAUGUUAGAUUGGUGUCUCUAGAUUGAACGGUUCAAGAGUUACUGUUGGUGGGUAAUUUUAUACUAAUUUAGCUCAUUUAAAUAGUUCUAAUAUCUAAAAGUUUUGAAAAUGUUAAAGUUGUUGUAGCUGAAAUGGUUAAAGAGCAGUAGCAUUUUAAAUGUCUACCACUGUGUUCUUAUGGUUGCCAUUUGAAUCCAUGAAAUUCUAUGCUAAUUUAUGCAAAUUACGAUUGUCUCUAAAGGUUUUAGAGAAUUUGAAGUUAGGAUAGCCUGAAGUUUUUAAAGUUGGUGUUGUCGCUUAAUUGAUCAAGGAGCAGGGCCAUUUUGAAUAGCUACAACUAUAUUCCUAUAGUUCUCAUUCAAACCCAUGUUCAUUUAAGCAAAUGUUAAAUUGUUAAGUUCAAAAAAGUAUAAAUAGCAUCACACAGCUUUUGACAAGCAAUCUAAAUUGAGUCGGCCUGUACAUUUCAAUGUUGGUUUGGUCUUUGUAACAUAAAUUGUUCAAAA